GCUGGGUGCUGUGGCACGUGCCUGUAGUCCCAGCUACUCAGGAGGCUGAGGCUGGAGGAUUGCUUGAAUCCAGGAGUUCUGGGCUGUUGUGCGCUAUGCUGACCGGGUAUCCACACUAAUUUUGGCAUUAAUACGGUGACCCCCCCGGGAGCGGGGAACCACCAGAUUGCCUAAGGAGGGGUGAAACGGUCCAGGUCAGAAAUGGAGCAGGUCAAAACUCCCGUGCUGAUCAAUAGUGGGAUUGCACCUGUGAAUAGCCACUGUGAAUAGCUACUGCAUCCAGCCUGGGCAACAUAGCGAGACUAUUCUCUC
ensembl:misc_RNA Metazoa_SRP Metazoan signal recognition particle RNA